CGAAAUUACGGAUGAAGGAUGGAUCCCAGGACGGGGGACCUGGGGAAAAUAAGAGCAGCAUGUCCUGGCAAGGAGAUGGCCUGCUGCAUGCCCCCAAACCCUCUACACUAUGCCUCUUGUUAAUGAACUGCGAAAAUGUGUGGUGCAUUGCACCAGACACCAUACACACCACCUGAGCCUCAGCAUUAUCCUCCAAGAUUUGUUUUCCUCUUCUACCUGGGUCUGGAAGAACUGGAGUCCCCACCUGAUUCUCCCAUUGAAGGAUCCUUCAACAACCACAUAGAAAGCCCUGGUCUUUUCCUGAGCACUUCAAUGGAUCUGAGAUAAAAAUCACUGAUAUUCCUUCAGAUAAUCUGAUCCACUAAUACACUAAGGGAUGAUAUAUUCUUGAUAAUAUCUGUAGGCAAUAUACAAACUGGCU
rnacentral:lncRNA from 1 species